rnacentral:rRNA from 1 species
AGAGUUUGAUCCUGGCUCAGGAUGAACGCUAGCUACAGGCUUAACACAUGCAAGUCGAGGGGAAACGACAUCGAAAGCUUGCUUUUGAUGGGCGUCGACCGGCGCACGGGUGAGUAACGCGUAUCCAACCUGCCCAUCACUUGGGGAUAACCUUGCGAAAGUAAGACUAAUACCCAAUGAUAUCUCUAGAAGGCAUCUGAAAGAGAUUAAAGAUUUAUCGGUGAUGGAUGGGGAUGCGUCUGAUUAGCUUGGUUGGCGGGGUAACGGCCCACCAAAGCAACGAUCGAGUAGGGGUUCUGAGAGGAAGUCCCCACAUUGGAACUGACGACACGGUCCAAACGUCCUACGGGAGCA